GCCGCGUGUGUGAAGAAGGCCUUCGGGUUGUAAAGCACUUUUGUUGGGGAAGAAACCGGUCGGAUUAAUACUUCGGCUGAAUGACGGUACCCAAAGAAUAAGCACCGGCUAACUUCGUGCCAGCAGCCGCGGUAAUACGAAGGGUGCAAGCGUUACUCGGAAUUACUGGGCGUAAAGCGUGCGUAGGCGGUUUGUUAAGUCUGUCGUGAAAGCCCCGGGCUCAACCUGGGAAUGGCGAUGGAUACUGGCAAGCUAGAGUGUGUCAGAGGAUGGUGGAAUUCCCGGUGUAGCGGUGAAAUGCGUAGAGAUCGGGAGGAACACCAGUGGCGAAGGCGGCCAUCUGGGACAACACUGACGCUGAGGCACGAAAGCGUGGGGAGCAAACAGGAUUAGAUACCCUGGUAGUCCACGCCCUAAACGAUGCGAACUGGACGUUGGGCACACUUAGGUGCUCAGUGUCGAAGCUAACGCGUUAAGUUCGCCGCCUGGGGAGUACGGUCGCAAGACUGAAACUCAAAGGAAUUGACGGGGGCCCGCACAAGCGGUGGAGUAUGUGGUUUAAUUCGAUGCAACGCGAAGAACCUUACCUGGCCUUGACAUGUCCGGAA
rnacentral:rRNA from 1 species